rnacentral:rRNA from 1 species
GAGUUUGAUCGUGGCUCAGGAUGAACGCUGGCGGCGUGCCUAACACAUGCAAGUCGAACGGGAACCCUUGGAUUCGUCUGGGGGGGAGAGUGGCAAACGGGUGAGUAAUACGUUGGUGACCUGCCCCAAAGAGGGGAAUAACCACUGGAAACGGUGGCUAAUACCCCAUGUGGUCUGUCGGUCGGACGGCAGAUUAAAGCGCCCCAUUAGGGGUUGCGCUUUGGGAGGGGCCUGCGGCCCAUCAGGUAGUUGGUAGGGUAAUGGCCUACCAAGCCGAUGACGGGUAGGGGGCGUGAGAGCGUGAUCCCCCACACUGGCACUGAGACACGGGCCAGACUCCUACGGGAGGCAGCAGUGAGGAAUAUUGCCCAAUGGACGCAAGUCUGAGGCAGCAACGCCGCGUGGGUGAUGAAGGCCUUCGGGUUGUAAAACCCGUUUUCUAGGGGGUACGAGAAAGGACGGUACCUCAGGAAUAAGUCACGGCUAACUACGUGCCAGCAGCCG